GAAAUGUAACCGUCGAAUUCUCAUGACACUGAUGUCUCAUUAUUUCAGACAUAGAAUAUCUUUAUUUCGAAAAGAAACUACCAGACAACCGCAACAAGGACCUCCAUGGAGCCUGCUAACUACAAACAGAUGGUGGGAGGAUCGAAGUGUCAUUUCUGUGAUUCACUGACACCAACUUGGAAUUGAGACAAAAAAGAUUUGUCAAGAAAAAGAGCGGUUGUCCAUAAAUCAAGUGUGUCCUGAAAACAUUGAAGAGUCUCCCUGCUUCUACCCAAAGUUUCUGACGGGCUGGAGAUCAGGACCCUCAUGUUCUUCCACAGCAGAAUCAACAGAAAUGAGG